GUAGGUGGCAAGCGUUGUCCGGAAUUAUUGGGCGUAAAGCGCGCGCAGGCGGUCCUUUAAGUCUGAUGUGAAAGCCCACGGGCUCAACCGUGAGGGACAUUGGAAACUGGGGGACUUGAGUACAGAAGAGGAAAGCGGAAUUCCAAGUGUAGCGGUGAAAUGCGUAGAGAUUUGGAGGAACACCAGUGGCGAAGGCGGCUUUCUGGUCUGUAACUGACGCUGAGGCGCGAAAGCGUGGGGAGCAAACAGGAUUAGAUACCCUGGUAGUCCACGCCGUAAACGAUGAGUGCUAAGUGUUAGGGGGUUUCCGCCCCUUAGUGCUGCAGCUAACGCAUUAAGCACUCCGCCUGGGGAGUACGGCCGCAAAGGCUGA
rnacentral:rRNA from 1 species